CCUACGGGAGGCUGCAGUGGGGAAUAUUGGACAAUGGGCGAAAGCCUGAUCCAGCCAUGCCGCGUGUGUGAAGAAGGCCUUCGGGUUGUAAAGCACUUUCAGUGGGGAAGAAAGCCUUGGGGCUAAUACCCUCGAGGAAGGACAUCACCCACAGAAGAAGCACCGGCUAACUCCGUGCCAGCAGCCGCGGUAAUACGGAGGGUGCGAGCGUUAAUCGGAAUUACUGGGCGUAAAGCGCGCGUAGGCGGUCUGAUAAGCCGGUUGUGAAAGCCCCGGGCUCAACCUGGGAACGGCAUCCGGAACUGUCAGGCUAGAGUGCAGGAGAGGAAGGUAGAAUUCCCGGUGUAGCGGUGAAAUGCGUAUAGAUCGGGAGGAAUACCAGUGGCGAAGGCGGCCUUCUGGACUGACACUGACGCUGAGGUGCGAAAGCGUGGGUAGCAAACAGGAUUAGAUACCCUAGUAGUC
rnacentral:rRNA from 1 species